CAGCCUUGCAAAAGGAACUGCUGAAGGAGGGCUGAGGGUUCACCUUGUCUUCAGCACUCAAACCAAGCUG
ensembl:miRNA